rnacentral:rRNA from 1 species
CGCUGGCGGCACGCCUAACACAUGCAAGUCGAACGCAGUAGCAAUACUGAGCGGCAAACGGGUGAGUAUAAUGUGGGAAUCUGCCUUUUGGUUUGGAAUAACACGGGGAAACUUGUGCUAAUACCGAAUAAGCCCUUACGGGGAAAGUUUUAAUGCCGAAAGAUGAGCCCGCACUUGAUUAGCUAGUUGGUAAGGUAAAAGCUUACCAAGGCAAUGAUCAAUAGCUGUUCUUAGAGGAAGACCAGCCACAUUGGGACUGAGACACGGCCC